AGUGGGGAAGAUUCUUUGAUUGGAGGUCCUUCCCUUGUGGAGUUUUCCUCUUCUUUCCUCUUUCUGGAUCACCUUUUCAUUGCAGUAGUUACUUUGUCAAUGCGUCUUCUGUACUGCCAUUCUACUGUGUCAAUCUUUCUGAUUGUUACAGAUUCCAAUUUAUGAGUAGAUCAGUAAAAACAUCAAGUCCAUUUGCAGAGGAACGAAGAGAUUUGACCUAAUCUUUGAUUCCACUGAGGUAUCAAAUCUCUCAGGAGUAACAAGGGAUUGACGAAUGAAGUGGACAGAAUUAUUUGCAGAGAUGUAUGCGUCUUACUUCUCUGUGACUCCUGAAUUCAAACAGCAGGCUGGUUUUACUGAAGAAUCAUGAUAAUGUACAGUCUUGUGAGCCCUGUCAGGAAAAGGAGCCAUGAAAUACUGUUUAAUCUCCAGAAGAGUCCCAGGAAUGAUUUUCAAGACCCAUUUCCUUCUGCUUCGCUACCAGGCUACUGCCGGUGACGUUUUAUGACUGCACUUGAGUUGCUCUUGCAUCUGAGCACAACAGACAAAGAAAUAAGCUGAUGCCUUAAGAAUUGCAAAGUGAAAAUGGUGAAAAUAGUGGAGAGGAAGUGAUUUCAGGGUGAAGAGAAGAUGUUUAUUUUUGAGGGGAUAAGAACAGUCUUCUGGGAAUUCACAUAGGCUCGUUCUAGUCUGAUACCAUUCUCCAGGGCAGCUAUUGUGUUUUGAAUGGAAAUUGGGUUGUAUGAGAUCCCCUGCUUCUCCUCUUGUCUACUCAAAGCUAGUGAGCAUGGAGAAAUUAUGAGCUGUGAGAGACAGAACAUAAGGAAAAUGUUGGCUUUGAAGCCCAGUUGUCCACGGGAGUUUGUGCACCUAUGCUACUGUGAAUAAUCAGCAGAUGAUGCUUUUUUCUGUUUUCAUGCUUCUUCUUAGAUACCACUGACCUGAACUAAUGCAACCAGAUACUUCCAGACUUAAAUCUAGAUCCCUCGGGGUGGUAAUUCAAAGUUGAACAUGUUGAUGUAAAUUAAGGAAGACUUAAUUCACAAGCCGUGUAUCUGUACGAAGGCUCAUAUAUAUCUAACCCAGGGAUUUUUUUCAUCUCUUGGUUAGAGGAGUGGGGCUGGUAACUAGAAUUCUAAUCUUUCUAAUACUGUCUCAGCAUAAUGUGUGUGUUGCCUUUGUGCUUGAUUGGCUCAACUAUCACGCGAAUCCAUACUAAUAAUAAUUUACAUUUUCAGAGGUCCUUUUAUUUAUUUACAACUUGUUUAGUUCUAUUCAAUUCUUAAAGGUUCCCCAUGCUUGUGUUUGUGUUUGUCUGUGUGCGUGCUACCCAGUCUUGCCCGGCUAAAAUGUACUCUAACUGUGUGAGGCUGCAACUACAUUUCAUGCAAUGAGGGAGGACUACAUAUUAGAGGAAAUUAUGGUGAAUGAAAUAUAUAUUUUCCUCAUGGAUUUUGUAUUCUCGCUAUAAAAGAGUAAAAAGUAUUUGCCCAGGCUCUCCCUUUGGGAAAUAAUUGAAUGAAAAGUCAUAACCUCUCUUAAUCCAUAUGACACCUUAAAGAAACAAGCAGGGAACAGUUCGGUCUAUCAGAAACAAUUAAGGGUUUCAAAGCUUCCCUAAAAUCUCAGUGAAGAAAACCUAGUAUGAAGUUACCUUUUCAAAACUCAGUCCUACAUGCUAGCCUGUUGAAAGUUUGGGCUAUGCCACAAGUAAUGUGGAAAAACAUAG
ensembl:lncRNA